CACAGAGCCCAACCCCAGCCAAGUUAGACUUCAGUCAGAGAAUCAGAAACAAAACCAGUGUCUGCCAGGAGACACUCUCUCUGCCUGGGAAUUCCUCCCCAUUGGGAGAAGUCUAUGUCAUCUCCCUCCACCUACGGUGGGAAAGUGUUGAGUUUGUUAGGCUGAGUGAGGGAUUAUCGCCAGGAACAUUGGUCACCUUAGAGCAUCCACACUGGAGGGUAUGUUCUCAGCAGAGGUGAUGACUACCUGAUAGCUGUGUAUUAUGGAGUUCUCUCCCUUGAGCCUCCCCAUCUAUAUGCUGUCCCAACCCCACAGAUUCAUGUGUUUGAACACCUGGUCCCCAGCUGGUAGCACUGUUUUGGGAAAUUACUUAAUCUGUGGGAGUUGAGGCAUGCCUGAUAGGGUACAUUGUUAGGGGUGGGUCUUUGAGGGUUAGGAUCUGGCCUUACUUUCUCUUCUGUUUUCUGCUUUCUUCUACAUCAUCACAGACUUCUAAUGCUUCAGAGCCAUCCUGCCAUGUCUGCCCCACCCUGAUGGACUAAAAUUUCUGAAACCAGGAGUCAAAUUAAACUUUUUUUCCCCUCUUCUGUUGGGCAUUUUGUCACAGUGAUGAGAAAAACCUAUCUGGUAUGAUGAAGGGGAAAGAAGUAAGAGUGAAACAGCAACACGAAUCAUGUAAGCCUCAGUCUUCAAAUAAUUCACCAACACAGUCAACCUUGCCUGAAAAGAACACAAGAAGAAAACAUCAAAGAACAAACCCUGAGAUACCAGCCAUGGGGCCUCCUGAUCAGUAAUCUUAGUUCAGGGACUGGAGAGAUCUGAAAAUUGGUGACCUGAAGACACUGAAGCACACCAAUAUAUACUAAACAUAAUGAAUUUUAUCUGGAAUUUGGAUGUGAGUCUUCUAUUUUAUAUCUAUUAGCUUUUUGGUCAACAAAGCUGAUUCUUUUCCUUUCACCUUGUCUCUUGAGAUUUUAUUAGUUGGCAGAAGAGUGGACUUCUCGUGAUUACAAAUUUUGCUGGCCAGCCAGGGGCAUCCUUAGACUGGAGAAUAUG
rnacentral:lncRNA from 1 species